rnacentral:rRNA from 1 species
CUACGGGAUGCUGCAGUGAGGAAUUUUGCGCAAUGGGGGGAACCCUGACGCAGCAACGCCGCGUGAGUGAUGAAGGCUUUCGGGUCGUAAAGCUCUGUCAAGUGGGAAGAACCUAUGCAGUGUUAAUAUCACUGUAUACUGACGGUACCACUGAAGGAAGCACCGGCUAACUCCGUGCCAGCAGCCGCGGUAAUACGGGGGGUGCAAGCGUUAUUCGGAAUCAUUGGGCGUAAAGGGCACGUAGGCGGCUUGGUAAGUCGGAUGUGAAAGCCCGGGGCUUAACCCCGGAAGUGCAUUUGAUACUGUCAGGCUUGAGUAUGGGAGAGGGAAGUGGAAUUCCUGGUGUAGAGGUGAAAUUCGUAGAUAUCAGGAGGAACACCGGUGGCGAAGGCGAAUUCCUGGACCAAUACUGACGCUGAGGUGCGAAGGCGUGGGUAGCAAACAGGAUUAGAUACCCUCGUAGUC